UACGUAGGCAGCGAGCGUUGUUCGGAAUUACUGGGCGUAAAGAGUGUGUAGGCGGUGCUCCCAGUCUGUUGUGAAAUCUCCCGGCUUAACUGGGAGGGUGCGCUAUAGACUGCGGGGCUCGAGUGUGGGAGAGGAAAGUGGAAUUCCUGGUGUAGCGGUGAAAUGCGUAGAUAUCAGGAGGAACACCGGUGGUGUAAACGGCUUUCUGGACCAUAACUGACGCUGAGGCACGAAAGCGUGGGUAGCAAACAGG
rnacentral:rRNA from 1 species